rnacentral:lncRNA from 1 species
AAUUACUAAAAGUAGAUAACAUAAUCCAAUAAAUAAUUUCUGAGUCCCAAUUUAACAGCCAGUACCUAACCGCAUUUGGUUUGAUAGGAUCCGCCUCGGUACCAUCUCCAAAACCAAUACCAGAACCAUAUACCACCUUGCCAAAUCUUUGAAACAAAACCAAAUUACACCCCCAUGCACAUGUCGAUCAUUCAUUGCCGCACCGUUCCUUCUCUGUGUUUGGUAUGAUGAGACCAAACACAGUAAUUGUACCUUUGAUAAAUAUAGAGCCAAAUCUUUCCGUUGAUUGCCAUAUACAAAACUCAACCUCAAAAGACAAAAAUACAUAAUAUCACUCCUUUGAGAUAAGUCCAUCCUCAAGUAAUAUCUAAACAAUCUAUUAUAUACUCGCUGCAUUAGUGCCUUAUCCCUAUUUCCUGCACCAAUAACCAAUAAACCAUAGCAACACCACCAAUCUAAAACAAGCGUUUUAUUCCAUCGAAAGAUCAGAUAAAUAAGCCACUUC